UGCACGCUCCUUAGAUCCGUUUCAUAUUCAAUGUGAAACGCUUGAGUCAUAAGUGUGCAAGAGCAUAGUACCUCCAUUUCAAGCCUGACAUGUGGUAUUUUCUGUAGAUAUCACUUGUCUUGGAGUGGGGAACAU